rnacentral:rRNA from 1 species
UAAGGAAUAUUGGUCAAUGGGCGAAAGCCUGAACCAGCCAUGCCGCGUGAAGGAUGAAGGUCCUCUGGAUUGUAAACUUCUUUUAUCAGGGAAGAAAUGUCUCGUUUCUACGGGAUUUGACGGUACCUGAGGAAUAAGCACCGGCUAACUCCGUGCCAGCAGCCGCGGUAAUACGGAGGGUGCAAGCGUUAUCCGGAUUUACUGGGUUUAAAGGGUGCGUAGGCGGGCCUUUAAGUCAGUGGUGAAAUCUCCCCGCUCAACGGGGAAACUGCCAUUGAUACUAUUGGUCUUGAAUUUAGUUGAGGUGGGCGGAAUGUGUCGUGUAGCGGUGAAAUGCUUAGAUAUGACACAGAACACCGAUUGCGAAGGCAGCUCGCUAAACUAAUAUUGACGCUGAGGCACGAAAGCGUGGGGAUCAAACAG